CAUGUACUCCCUCCGUCCAGAAAUACUUGUCGGACAAAUGGAUGUAUCUAGACAUAAUUUAGUUCUAGAUACAUCCAUUUCUAACAAUUUCCACGACAAGUAAUUCCGGACGGAGGGAGUAUAUG
rnacentral:pre_miRNA from 1 species